rnacentral:rRNA from 1 species
UACGUAGGUGGCAAGCGUUGUCCGGAUUUACUGGGCGUAAAGAGCGCGCAGGCGGUCGGUCAAGUCGAGUGUGAAAGCCCCCGGCUCAACUGGGGAGGGUCACUCGAAACUGAUCGACUCGAAGGCGGGAGAGGGAAGCGGAAUUCCCGGUGUAGUGGUGAAAUGCGUAGAUAUCGGGAGGAACACCAGUGGCGAAGGCGGCUUCCUGGCCCGUUCUUGACGCUGAGGCGCGAAAGCUAGGGGAGCGAACGGG